rnacentral:rRNA from 1 species
UCUCAGACGAUCCGAGAUAAGUUGGGUGGUCAAAAGGGAAAGAGCCCAGACCAACAGCUAAGGCCCCAAAAUGUGUGUUAAGUGGAAAAGGAUGUGGGAUUCGAAGACAACUAGGAUGUUGGCUCAGAAGCAGCCAUUCAUUCAAAGAGUGCGUAAUAGCUCACUAGUCGAGAGGUCCUGCGCCGAAAAUGUCCGGGGCUAAAACACACUGCCGAAGCUUUGGAAUUGAGAAUUCAAUUGGUAGAGGAGCAUUCUUAAAGGGACGAAGCAGUACCGAAAGGAGCUGUGGACUUUUAAGAAGAGAGAAUGCCGGAAUGAGUAGCGAGAGGAAGGUGGGAAUCCUUCCGGCCGAAUAUCUAAGGUUUCCAGAGUAAAGCUGAUCUGCUCUGGGUAAGUCGGGGCCUAAGGCGAGGUCGAAAGACGUAGUCGAUGGAUAACAGGUUGAAAUUCCUGUACUAUCCUGUAACAGAACUGUGGGGACACAGGCAGAGAGCGUGAGCCGGGAAUGGAAAGACCGGUACAAGCGAGGUAGGAGAAGAGUUGGCAAAUCCGCUCUUUAAUCUGAAGACGUGAUGUGGACUGAAAAUAAGUAGGGAAGCACGUAGCUGACUGUCAAGAAAAGCCGCUAUUGUUUGCAGGAUACCCGUACCGUAAACCGACACAGGUGGAUGAGGAGAGAAUCCUAAGGCCGACGGGAGAAGCAUUGUUAAGGAACUCGGCAAAAUGACUCCGUAACUUCGGGAGAAGGAGUGCCAGUAAGAUGGCCGCAGAGAAUUGGCCCAAGCAACUGUUUAGCAAAAACACAGGUCUAUGCAAAACCGAAAGGUGAGGUAUAUGGGCUGACGCCUGCCCGGUGCUGGAAGGUUAAGGGGAGAGGUUAGCGCAAGCGAAGCUUUGAACUUAAGCCCCAGUAAACGGCGGCCGUAACAAUAACGGUCCUAAGGUAGCGAAAUUCCUUGUCGGGUAAGUUCCGACCCGCACGAAAGGCGUAAUGAUUUGGGCACUGUCUCAACAAUGCACCCGGUGAAAUUGAAAUACCAGUGAAGAUGCUGGUUACCUGCGCCAGGACGGAAAGACCCCAUGGAGCUUUACUCCAGCUUGAUACUGGGAUUCGGUAUUGCAUGUACAGGAUAGGUGGGAGGCUAGGAAAUGGUAACGCCAGUUGCCAUGGAGCCAAUGUUGGGAUACCACCCUUGCAGUACUGGGUUUCUAACCAGCAGCCGUGAUCCGGCUGGGGGACAAUGUCAGGUGGGGAGUUUGACUGGGGCGGUCGCCUCCGAAAGGGUAUCGGAGGCGCUCAAAGGUUCCCUCAGAAUGGUUGGAAACCAUUCGA